rnacentral:lncRNA from 1 species
GAAACUUCGGUGAACUUGUGAUAGGCUGGGCUCUGUGGUUCGCAUUUUGUUUUCACAGGCUUGUAGAAUUCUGGCAGUUUUUCUGGGGUGUGUGUGUGUGUAUGUGUGUGUGUGUGUAUGCAUGUGCAUGCACUCUUUCUCUGCAUGGUGGGAAAGAGACUUUUUUUCUUUUCCUCUCUCUCUCUUUUCUCUUUAGCUUCCACACUGAGGUAUGAAUGAAACCCUCUUCUCCUGUCCUGGGGUACGGUCUCUCCAGAGCAAUGGGGCAGGACAUCAGCAGGUGAAAAGUCUGUUUAUCCAAAUGAAAGGCAAAAAAUCUGUGUCAAAGCCUAGUGUUGUCAUCAUUAAGUUGUGUAUCCUUUACAAGGUCUGAAUCUCAAUCUCUCCCAUGUUCCACUAUAGCUACUAGUUCCCAAGUCCUCCUAUGCACCAGUAAUCCCUACCUUGCAAUUGAACUACCCCCAUGCCCUGCUCCUGGGCUGCUCUCCACACCAGAGCUGCUAAGUGCUGGGGACAAGAUGCUAAACGAAUCACUGUGUGUGUCCUGCAGGUCUAGCAGGGCACAGAAAUCUCCGAGCAAGAGCGUCAAUAGAAAGAGCCGAAUGUGGCAGGAGGUGGUCAGUUCCCAUCGGGCAUUCAUUCACUCAGCACAGCUGGAGCCCCAGGCGCCUUGCUGGACACAGGUGUCCUCCUUCUUGCCAUCUUCUUUCACCCAUAAGGAGCGUUUCUCCCCACAUCAAGUCCUCAGCUCUGAACAACACAGAAUCAGAAUGACGUCACAUCCCUGGGCAAGAAAUGAGUCCAAGGAUGGUUUUGAAGGCUUCUUCAAGUAAGAGAUUUGACUUUUCUCUUUGUUUUUGUCUCUAGACACCCACAAGUUGACUUGAAUAUAUAGACAUAACUUUGAAUUCUGCUACUGUAUUUGUUGACGCAUCCAGGCUCCUCAUCCUCCCUCCCCGAGGCUACUUUGCUCACUUCACGUGGGUCUUUUGGUUUUGUAUUCCUGGUGUCCACCAGUCUGUCUGCUUUAGAGGAUGAGUGUGAUAGGAAUGGCUAGAAGAAGGAGAAGGAGAGAGGACAAACAGGAAGAGAGAAGAGGAUGUUUGUUUCCAAAGAGGAGAAAAAAGCAAACACAGGCAGAGAGGUCCCACGUCUGGGUAAGAGGCCAAUUUGUCCAGUUAAGUGUAGGCAGGGAGGAACACGGGAAAGCUGUUCUGGGAAGUGCAAGGAGCAAAUGAGCAG